rnacentral:rRNA from 1 species
AUUAUUGGAUGGCAUCAUUUGAUAAUUAAAACUGAGGUGGUAUAGGAUGGGCAUGCGUCUGAUUAGUUAGUUGGCGGGGUAAUGGCCCACCAAGACGAUGAUCAGUAGGGGUUCUGAGAGGAAGGUCCCCCACACUGGCACUGAGAUACGGGCCAGACUCCUACGGGAGGCAGCAGUAGGGAAUAUUGGUCAAUGGAUGCAAGUCUGAACCAGCCAUGCCGCGUGCAGGAAAGAAGGCCUUCUGGGUUGUAAACUGCUUUUGCCAGGGGAUAAAAUUUCCAUGCGUGGAAAACUGAAGGUACCUGGUGAAUAAGCCACGGCUAACUACGUG